rnacentral:lncRNA from 1 species
GGGUGCAGCGGAACCAGCAACGAACAAAUCUGGAGACUUUUGGACUCGAUCGAAGGCCCUUGACAAAAUCAGCCUGGUUGCUGUCUUCUUCGUCAGCCUUUCGUUCCAGAUGAAGAACGCCUCUAAGAUCACCUCUAAAAAAAUCCAAGAUCUGGUACCCAACCAGAUCAGGCCUGGACCGAGGUCUUCCAAUUCAUAGAUCUC